CCGGGGCACUGCGUCCCUCGGAGCCCCGGAGAGCUGCAGGGCGGGUCUUUGUCGCGUUGAGACAAAGCCGCUGAACCUGGGCUGUCGCCUGUGCAGGUGCGCGGGCUCGUUCGCGGGAGGCGUGCGCUGGGGGAGCGGGCUUCCUGCACGAGGUCGCCGCUCAGGGGUUGAUUGGACGGAAUCUCGCGACACCCCAGGCACUGGCGCUUGUGCCGGAUCCACGUGAGAGUUCUCCGGAUUUUCACCAUUAAAAUGGUGAAUUAAAUGUUCAUGCUGGUUCAUCCUUUCCCAUGAUGUAGUGUGCACAGGACCCUGAUUUGCAGCUCUGCUGUUUCUGUUUAUUGAAAGCAUCUACCUUACAGGACUGCCAGUACUGGAGCAUUACCCUAACUGGCCAUGAAUACAACUAUUGACAGGACCGAGGAUUAUGGAUUUUUGCAUCUCCAGAUCCGUACGUGGAUUCUGUGAGAUGGUCCCCCAUUUGCCCCGCACCGUUUGGUGAAUGCUCCAUGUUUUCUCCGUUGACAUGAAACGCCUCCCAGGAGAUUCUUGGGCAGACUUCAUGGCUUCUGAGCUGAGCUUGUGGUGACAGUGGUUCCUCUUUGUGAAACCUCUCCAGGCGGGCAGAGACCUCAAACACGCCACUGAGAGCUGCAAACAAGUCAAACCUGCACCAGUACCGGCGUAUGUGAGGUCUCCAAAUUGCAGCCUGGAAUGAUACUUUACUCCGUCAACAUGUGAGGAAGACCCGAACUUAAUAUUUGCAAAGCACUUUGAACUAUGGAGAAGAAAGGUGCUAUGUAAUCCUCGUGUUAUCUUUUAGAUUUUGAGCAUGUUACUGUGACAUCAGCAUCCUAGGCUUAAUGAAGUUUUAUUUCAGCUAAUAUAAGUUCAUCCUUCUGUGUUCAACUAGCUGUGAAACCAAGCCACUGGGUGUGGAUUAUGAGGGCUGAAGUUUUGGGGGGUGGGGUGAAAUUUUUCAGAAUUCGUGAUAGCAUAUAAGACCACUGAAGCCGGUUUACCUGCCUUCUAUCUACAAGGAUGCUUUUUAAACUAGGACACACAUCUAUUGUUCAGUGAUAAUUAUAGUGAUAAUGCUGACACUAAGAUACUGCAAAAUCCUGCUGCACCUUUUGAAUUAAGUUCUGAAUCAUCAAAAAUAAUUAUAAGUUUCAAGACAAUUUGGCUGUGUUCCUUAAUGGUUAGGAGUUUUGUUUAAGACACAGACAAGGGUGAAUUUAAUCUUGAGUCUUCCACCUUUUAUCUGAGUAACUUUGAGCAAGCAUCCCAACUUCUGUAAGCUUUAAUUUCUCAUAUAUAAAAUGGUAAUGAUAAUAGUACUUAUUGUUAUAGGGAUUAAUAAGAAAAUCCAUUUAAAGCAAAAUAAGGCACUUCCUGUCUGACUGGCAAAGAUCAAAAAGAUCAAUAACACCUCUGGAGGUGGCCGUCUGGUGGAGAGAGGUGUGCUGCUCAAGGGGGUGUAUAUCGAUAUAGCUACCACAUAAAACAGUUUACAGUACCUAUCAAUAUCUAUCAAAUGCACACACACACCUCUACCAGCACUUCCUCUAGCUGGAAUUUAUU